UCAGUCAAAAUAAAAAUAUUAUCUCCUUGAUAAUAAAAAUAUAACCUUAACGGAAAAAUAUACAUUUCAAGGACACUUCAUUUAACAUUACAAAUGACGAGUUGUUUGAUUUUGAAUCAUUAUUGAUGGAUAGCAAUACCUACGGUGAGCAAAAAAUAGUGAAGAGAAUAUCAACCACAUUUUAUCCUAUGCGCCGAGGGUCGAUUGGAAACAGCCUCUCUGC
rnacentral:lncRNA from 1 species